rnacentral:rRNA from 1 species
UACAGGGGGUGCAAACGUUGCUCGGAAUCAUUGGGCGUAAAGCGCACGUAGGCGGUUCGUUAUGUCGGAUGUGAAAGCCCUUGGCUUAACCGAGGAAGUGCAUCCGAAACUGGCGAGCUAGAGUACGAAAGAGGAUCGCGGAAUUCCCGGUGUAGAGGUGAAAUUCGUAGAUAUCGGGAGGAACACCGGUGGCGAAGGCGGCCAGCUGGCGCUGACCUGACGCUGAGGCGCGAAGGCAUGGGGAGCGAACGGG